GGACUAAACAAGAUGGCAGACGGCAGUUCCAAACAAAGGUAUCAAACCCUAGUGGUGAGGAAUUCAAGACCAAUUCUGAAUUGCUUAGGCAUGUAAAAAGGAAACAUCAAUCAGAGAAAUUGUCUUCGUUUGUGACCAGUGCAACACACGCUUUUGCUUCCUGAAUACACGAGGUGCAUACAUAUACCAUGGCAGCCGUUUUAUAUAUCCGUUUAUGUACAUUGUGAAACGAUUAUUUUUACGGUAUUAUGCUUUGUUUAAAGAGAUACUCCUAAUCUUUUACAAAUGUUGAUUUGUCAUUUCAUUGAACCAG